rnacentral:rRNA from 1 species
GGGGAAUCUUGCGCAAUGGGCGAAAGCCUGACGCAGCCAUGCCGCGUGAAUGAUGAAGGUCUUAGGAUUGUAAAAUUCUUUCACCGGGGACGAUAAUGACGGUACCCGGAGAAGAAGCCCCGGCUAACUUCGUGCCAGCAGCCGCGGUAAUACGAAGGGGGCUAGCGUUGCUCGGAAUUACUGGGCGUAAAGGGCGCGUAGGCGGAUCGUUAAGUCAGGGGUGAAAUCCCGGGGCUCAACCUCGGAAUUGCCCUUGAUACUGGCGAUCUUGAGUAUGAGAGAGGUAUGUGGAACUCCGAGUGUAGAGGUGAAAUUCGUAGAUAUUCGGAAGAACACCAGUGGCGAAGGCGACAUACUGGCUCAUUACUGACGCUGAGGCGCGAAAGCGUGGGGAGCAAACA